CGAAAGUAAGGUGGUUGGUCGGGGUGGAUGAGUGGGCGUAUAUCGCGAACGUCUAGCAACCCAAAUGUUGCCUGUUUGAAAUCUCAUUACAGACCAUUUUUGCAACUUAAUACUUUUUAGCUACUUUGCAUGUUAGCUAACCCUAACCUUAACCACUAGCCUAGCUAACAUUAUCCACCUUGCUAGCGUUAGCCACCCUACCUAGCUUUAGCCUACCUCAAUACAACUCGGAUUUGGCUUAGAAACACGAUAACAUUUCAAAAGGUAAAUCAUUUGUAGAAAAACCUUUUGUCGUGAUUGUAAUGUGGCCAGAUUGACUUUAGAUACAGUAGCUAUAAUUUUAUCCAGCUAACUAAGAUAGAGGGGACCACCAUAUUUUAGCUAGCUAACAUUAGCAUUACUAGCUAUUUGACAAACUUGUGCGCGAUGGGACAUGGACAUCCCUGCCGGCCAAACCCUCCCCUAACCCGGACGACGCUGGGCCAAUUGUGCGCUGCCUCAUGGGUCUCCCGGUCACCGCUCAUGGGUCUCCCGGUCGCGGCUGGCUGGACAGAGCAUGGACUCAAACCAGGAUCUCUAUAACCAGCAAAAUGCACUAUCGAAAGUCAAUUUGACAACAUAAUAAAGCAAAGUUAUUUCCUACCAAUUAUGUUCAUUCCACUCCAAGUUAGCAAUUGUAAUCUAGACAAAACAGUCACAUUAUUCCCUGAGGUGCAAAACAUAUUUAAUGCACAAAUAAAUAUUGGCUGCAACUAUGGUGGUACUAGCUAACUCAUGUGACUACAACAGUGUACUAACUAGCAGCAACAAACUUAAACCAACACAGGGCCAUAGCAAAACAUAUCACGGUUGGUUGCAUAGUGUAACGGCGUCACUGGCCUGAAUCUAAUCCAAUCUGGAGCUAGUCAGUCUACAUCCGUAAAGCAUAGAAUUAGCUUCCAAACGAGAUCACGUUCCUCAAGCAACGUUUAUUAUUGAAGGAUGAUGACAAUCAUUUAACCUGUUUUUCUGUUAGACAAAGUGUACAGUUGGGUGCCAGAGUGAUCCCCUGGUCAUGAAUGAUGCUGGGACCUAACAGAAGCAGCAACGCUUGUCAGGCAAGACCUCAGAAUGAAAGUGUGAAAUGUGACAAGUACCCUUGUGACACCCCCUCCGUUGUUGCCAGAGUCUCCCUCAACUCCUAUAAAAAGGACACAUCAUCAUGAGGCCUCUGAUAGUGACCCGAGUUACUGCCUUGAUGAAAGACUGCUUCAUCGACGACAGGCUCUCCCAGUCAACACCAUCUCAUAAGAUUGCCUGCUGCAGUUGUUCAAGAGAUGUCCAGUCUGAGCCGAAUAUGCAGCACAGAGAAGACCAACAAGGAGGCUCUCAUCAACGUCCAGGGCAUAACCUAGUCUGGUAGAAUCAGCCUGAUCGCUGUGUUCACCAUUCUAUUUCACUGCACACUUAUGAUAUCUGAAGUGAAACAGAAAGGUGAAUGAAGCAAUCAGGUUGGUUCCCCCAGGCUAAUCAUAACCAUUAUU